AAUACGUAGGUGGCGAGCGUUAUUCGGAAUUAUUGGGCCUAGAGGGUUCGUAGGGGGUAAUGUAAGUCCGGUGUGAAAUCUCGAGGCUCAACCUCGAAACUGCAUUGGAAACUGCAUUACUUGAGUGUCAGAGAGGAAAGCGGAAUUCCUGGUGUAGCGGUGGAAUGCGUAGAUAUCAGGAAGAACACCGACGGCGAAGGCAGCUUUCUGGCUGGCAACUGACCCUGAUGAACGAAAGCUAGGGUAGCGAACAGGAUUAGAUACCCUGGUAGUCCUAGCUGUAAACGUUGUGCACUGGAUGUGGGCGGAUUUGGUCCCGUCUGUGUCUGAGCGAAGGCGUUAAGUGCACCGCCUGGGGACUACGGCCGCAAGGCUAAAACUCAAAGGAAUUGACGGGGGCCCGCACAAGCGGUGGAGCAUGUGGCUCAAUUCGAGGCAACGCGAAGAACCUUACCUGGGUUUGACAUAUACCUGACCGCCGGUGAGAGCCGGUUUCUCUUUGAGCAGGUAUACAGGUGCUGCAUGGCUGUCGACAGCUCGUGCUGUGAAGUGUUCGGUUAAGUCCGGCAACGAGCGCAACCCACGCUGUUAGUUACCAUCAGGUAAUGCUGGGGACUCUAACAGGACUGCCCGUGCUAAGCGGGAGGAAGGCGUGGACGACGUCAAGUCCGCAUGGCCCUUACGCCCAGGGCUGCACACGUGCUACAAUGGCCGGUACAGAGGGUCGCCACUCUGCGAAGAGGAGCUAAUCCCGAAAACCGGCCUCAGUUCGGAUUGGAGUCUGCAACCCGACUCCAUGAAGUAGGAAUCGCU
rnacentral:rRNA from 1 species